UCUCCGUUGGUGAACCAGCGGAGGGAUCAUUAUCGAGUUUAUAACUCCCAAACCCUAUGUGAACUUACCACUUGUUGCUUCGGCGCGCGCUUCGGCGCCGCCGAGGACACUUAAACUCUUUGUUUUUAUAAGCAUUUCUGAGUGGCCGAAAGGCAAAAUACAAAUGAAUCAAAACUUUCAACAACGGAUCUCUUGGUUAUGGCAUCAUGAAGAACGCAGC
rnacentral:misc_RNA from 1 species